rnacentral:rRNA from 1 species
UGGAGAGUUUGAUCCUGGCUCAGAGCGAACGCUGGCGGCAGGCUUAACACAUGCAAGUCGAGCGGGCAUAGCAAUAUGUCAGCGGCAGACGGGUGAGUAACGCGUGGGAACGUACCUUUUGGUUCGGAACAACACAGGGAAACUUGUGCUAAUACCGGAUAAGCCCUUACGGGGAAAGAUUUAUCGCCGAAAGAUCGGCCCGCGUCUGAUUAGCUAGUUGGUGAGGUAAUGGCUCACCAAGGCGACGAUCAGUAGCUGGUCUGAGAGGAUGAUCAGCCACAUUGGGACUGAGACACGGCCCAAACUCCUACGGGAGGCAGCAGUGGGGAAUAUUGGACAAUGGGCGCAAGCCUGAUCCAGCCAUGCCGCGUGAGUGAUGAAGGCCCUAGGGUUGUAAAGCUCUUUUGUGCGGGAAGAUAAUGACGGUACCGCAAGAAUAAGCCCCGGCUAACUUCGUGCCAGCAGCCGCGGUA